ensembl:lncRNA
CAAAGGAACCCCAUCUUUGGUUUGCCACUUGACUUUUUUCAUCAAAGGAUAUGGCUACGUUAGAGAUAGGGGAUGUUUAUCUCUGAGCACGUCUUUCACACGCCUCCUGCGAGCUGUGCAAAUAUAAAAACGAUCUUGUGUGACUGUGAUUGCAUAACUAUAGGAAUUGGUCUUAUUCGUAAAACUUGAGCAGAGCGAAGAUGAAAUACAGAGCAGGUUCUUUGAAAGUGGUGUGGGCCUGGAUGGUGAUUCUGAUGCAAAGCUUGGAUGCAGCACAUGCACCAACAACCGCCGGGUUUUCAUGCAAGCCAAAAGAGCAGACAGCCCUCACCAAAAGUCUAGUUAAAGACUGCUUGACAAGUUUUGAUGCAGCCAAUGGGAAGCACCUUGGCACUUGGUCCCCAGGCUUCCCUGAGCUUGAGGUCCACGAGAACUCUACUCUCCGUGGGUCAAAGGUUCAGUGUAGCCUCUCCUUCAUGGCUCAGGGCCUGGAGGAAGUCCUGGAGGACCAGGUGAAACACCUGAAUACCGAAGAUGUGUCACUUCACAAGAAGCUCAGGGACACCAUCACCAGGGUCAAAAGCCUCACAGCGUGCAUGAAGAAAAUUCUCGGAGGGGAAUGCUCCCCAAAACCACCUCCACCAAAAAAGCCCAGGCAUGCGUUUGAUAGGAAGCAGUGGAGUCACACUCUGUUAAAGACAGCCGGAGACUAUCUGGACUGGCUGAAGUCUAAGCUUGGGGAACAAAUUUCAAAGGUCAAAGGGCAAAAUAAGAUAAAACGCACAGCUACUGGGGCUACACGUCAGAUGUACUUGGAGGGGAGUGGAUACCUCUUGUAA